rnacentral:rRNA from 1 species
CCGGAACCGUUAGUCCACGAGAUGGCUUGGUGCCCGAAAGGGAAUCGGAACACAGGUGCUGCAUGGCUGUCGUCAGCUCGUGUCGUGAGAUGUUGGGUUAAGUCCCGCAACGAGCGCAACCCUUAUCAUUAGUUGCUACGCAAGGGCACUCUAAUGAGACUGCCGGUGACAAACCGGAGGAAGGUGGGGAUGACGUCAAGUCCUCAUGGCCCUUAUGGGUAGGGCUUCACACGUCAUACAAUGGUCGGUACAGAGGGUUGCCAAGCCGCGAGGUGGAGCCAAUCCCAGAAAGCCGAUCGUAGUCCGGAUUGUUCUCUGCAACUCGAGAGCAUGAAGUCGGAAUCGCUAGUAAUCGCGGAUCAGCAUGUCGCGGUGAAUACGUUCCCGGGUCUA